AUUGAACGCUGGCGGCAGGCCUAACACAUGCAAGUCGAGCGGAUGACGGGAGCUUGCUCCUUGAUUCAGCGGCGGACGGGUGAGUAAUGCCUAGGAAUCUGCCUGGUAGUGGGGGACAACGUUUCGAAAGGAACGCUAAUACCGCAUACGUCCUACGGGAGAAAGCAGGGGACCUUCGGGCCUUGCGCUAUCAGAUGAGCCUCGGUCGGAUUAGCUAGUAGGUGUGGUAAUGGCUCACCUAGGCGACGAUCCGUAACUGGUCUAAGAGGAUGAUCAGUCACACUGGAACUGGGACACGGUCCAGACUCCUACGGGAGGCAGCAGUGGGGAAUAUUGGACAAUGGGCGAAAGCCUGAUCCAGCCAUGCCGCGUGUGUGAAGAAGGUCUUCGGAUUGUAAAGCACUUUAAGUUGGGAGGAAGGGCAGUAAGCUAAUACCUUGCUGUUUUGACGUUACCGACAGAAUAAGCACCGGCUAACUCUGUGCCAGCCGCCGCCGUAAGAC
rnacentral:rRNA from 1 species